UCUGCUUUACAGAUUCAAAAACUCUGAUUGAUAUUCUUACAUGAAACAAGUCUGUGUUUUCUCUACAAAGGAUCCUCAAUGACAUCAGUGUGUUGAGUAGAUCCCAGAACUCUUAUCUCCUUUAGGUUUAUUUCUCGAAUUUGUAAUGAGACUGCUGAUAACCUUGCGGAAAACGCUAUGUUUGUAAUGUCUAACAAUUCCUCUGGAAUUGGAAACUCUGUAACCGACUGAUUAGAGAAGUAAAAAAAAAAAUUGACCAAAAAAAAAGAAGGAGAUGUCCAUAUUAGGAGAAUGAUAUGUAUUAUUGAUACGAUGGUACACAGUAUAUACACGUAAGGUUUUGACAAGAGAUAUUUAUACAAUACUCUUUUUAUAUAUAUACUCUCUAAGCCUCCUCA
rnacentral:lncRNA from 1 species